AUUGAAACGUGCUUACCCCGGGGUAGCCUAUAACCUUGCUCCUUGGGUGACGAGUGGCGGACGGGUGAGUAAUGUCUGGGAAACUGCCCGAUGGAGGGGGAUAACUACUGGAAACGGUAGCUAAUACCGCAUAACGUCGCAAGACCAAAGAGGGGGACCUUCGGGCCUCUUGCCAUCGGAUGUGCCCAGAUGGGAUUAGCUAGUAGGUGGGGUAACGGCUCACCUAGGCGACGAUCCCUAGCUGGUCUGAGAGGAUGACCAGCCACACUGGAACUGAGACACGGUCCAGACUCCUACGGGAGGCAGCAGUGGGGAAUAUUGCACAAUGGGCGCAAGCCUGAUGCAGCCAUGCCGCGUGUAUGAAGAAGGCCUUCGGGUUGUAAAGUACUUUCAGCGAGGAGGAAGGUGUUGUGGUUAAUAACCGCAGCAAUUGACGUUACUCGCAGAAGAAGCACCGGCUAACUCCGUGCCAGCAGCCGCGGUAAUACGGAGGGUGCAAGCGUUAAUCGGAAUUACUGGGCGUAAAGCCGCACGCAGGCGGGUCUGUCAAGUCGGAUGUGAAAUCCCCGGGCUCAACCUGGGAACCGGCUCCCAAACUGGCGGGCUAGAGUCUUGUAGAGGGGGGUAGAAUUCCAGGUGUGCGGUGAAAUGCGUAAAGAUCUGGAAGGAUACCGGUGGCGAGGGGGCCCCUGGAAAAAACUGACCCUCAGUGCC
rnacentral:rRNA from 1 species